rnacentral:rRNA from 1 species
UGGGGAAUAUUGCACAAUGGGCGAAAGCCUGAUCCAGCAAUGCCGCGUGUGUGAAGAAGGCCUUCGGGUUGUAAAGCACUUUUGUCCGGAAAGAAAUCCUUGGCUCUAAUACAGUCGGGGGAUGACGGUACCGGAAGAAUAAGCACCGGCUAACUACGUGCCAGCAGCCGCGGUAAUACGUAGGGUGCAAGCGUUAAUCGGAAUUACUGGGCGUAAAGCGUGCGCAGGCGGUUUGCUAAGACCGAUGUGAAAUCCCCGGGCUCAACCUGGGAACUGCAUUGGUGACUGGCAGGCUAGAGUAUGGCAGAGGGGGGUAGAAUUCCACGUGUAGCAGUGAAAUGCGUAGAGAUGUGGAGGAAUACCGAUGGCGAAGGCAGCCCCCUGGGCCAAUACUGACGCUCAUGCACGAAAGCGUGGGGAGCAAACAGGAUUAGAUACCCUGGUAGUCCACGCCCUAAACGAUGUCAACUAGUUGUUGGGGAUUCAUUUCCUUAGUAACGUAGCUAACGCGUGAAGUUGACCGCCUGGGGAGUACGGUCGCAAGAUUAAAACUUAAAUGAAUUGACGGGGUCAUAGCUGUUUCCU